rnacentral:lncRNA from 1 species
GGCUGUGGUGAAGCUAACUCAAGAGCUUAACAUGUUGGAGGUGCCCAAUGAUUUUGAAUAGGUGUACUUUGACACCUCUUGUGGCCUUCGAGAAUUUUUUGGGGUUGGGGACAGGAUUUUGGAGCACGAUGAUCUUACACAAAUGUCAUCGUUAACAAUGGCUGAUGGUUUGGAUGACGAAGCUAGAACAAAUAGAAGGAGACGAAGGAGGACACGAUGAAGACAGUGAUUUGGAUACACAGAGGAGAAAAUAGGGUAAUGAGCAUGGAGAUAGGAUGAGGUUCACGUAAAUCAGAGGGUUUAUGACGAGUUCAUGAAAGAUUGUUGUUGUACAAGUACAUGGCCGAGCAAUUGUGGCAGCUCAAGGUGGUACAGCUUGUUGAGGUUCCUAAUGUACCUAACUACAAUUUACACAAAAAAAGUGUACCUAACUACAUUGGUAUUAGCACGACCAAUAAGACCAUAUAUAUGUAAUGACAGACAAGGCCAUAUGUAACUACAAUGACAUUAUCACAUAAAACACUGCAAGAUGAAUACAAAUAUUUAAGUAAAUAGGUUA